rnacentral:rRNA from 1 species
UACGGAGGGAGCUAGCGUUGUUCGGAAUUACUGGGCGUAAAGCGCACGUAGGCGGCUUUUUAAGUCAGGGGUGAAAUCCCGGGGCUCAACCCCGGAACUGCCCUUGAAACUGGAGAGCUAGAAUCUUGGAGAGGCGAGUGGAAUUCCGAGUGUAGAGGUGAAAUUCGUAGAUAUUCGGAAGAACACCAGUGGCGAAGGCGGUCUGCUGGGGUAAUGCUGACACUGAGGCGCGACAGCGUGGGGGAGCAAACAGG